AAGUGUUGAAGUAAGAGAGUGUGCCGGUAGGCAUUGUCUUAUGGAGCUUGCGAGAGGGGUUGUGCAGUGAAACCUCAAACCGGCGUAGGCUGGAAAGCCGAAAGAAAAUGCUCACA
rfam:Clostridium hathewayi CAG:224 genomic scaffold, scf145